UACGUAGGGUGCAAGCGUUGUCCGGAAUUAUUGGGCGUAAAGAGCUCGUAGGCGGUCUGUUGCGUCGGCUGUGAAAACCCGAGGCUCAACCUCGGGCCUGCAGCCGAUACGGGCAGACUAGAGUUCGGCAGGGGAGACUGGAAUUCCUGGUGUAGCGGUGAAAUGCGCAGAUAUCAGGAGGAACACCGGUGGCGAAGGCGGCAUCCCGUGGAC
rnacentral:rRNA from 1 species